rnacentral:rRNA from 1 species
UACGUAGGGGGCGAGCGUUGUCCGGAUUUAUUGGGCGUAAAGAGCUCGUAGGCGGUUUGGUAAGUCGGGUGUGAAAUCUCCACGCUCAACGUGGAGGGGCCACUCGAUACUGCCAUGACUCGAGUCCGGUAGAGGAGUGUGGAAUUCCCGGUGUAGCGGUGAAAUGCGCAGAUAUCAGGAAGAACACCCGUGGCGAAGGCGGCUCUCUGGGACGGUACUGACGCUGAGACGCGAAAGCGUGG